UAAAAAUCUUGAUCACUUCCCCAGCAACAGGGCAGUCACUGCUCACAUUUUGCCCACGAGCUACUCACAUACCUCUUCUUCCUGGCUGAAAAAAGCCCCUUUUUGUUUGGGGGCUGGGUAGAGAGCCCUUGAAGUCAAGAAAGACAGGCGCCACGCGUCCACAAGGGAAUGGAUUGUGACUGUGUUUAUCUCAUUUCCCUUUGCCCGUGAAUGUUCUAAGAGCAGGCCUGUGGCCCAUAUCUCACCCAUGAGACAAAGGAGAGGUCUUCUAGGACACUUCCUGAAAUUGUUCUUCCUGGAAAAAAAAACACAGAACUUCACAAGGAGAAAGCUUUUCACUCCAGCCCCUACCUUCCUGCUUUGCAUGCAGCCCUGUGAGGACUUGUACUUGAAGUGUAGUAGCCAUGAGGUGGUAAAAGAUGGCAGAACAUAAGGAUAGAGAAGAGACUGGGUCCUUCAUGACAUCAUCGUGCUGCUGGGACUGCCUACUCCAGACUUCUUGUUAGGAGGGAGACUACUCCAUGCGUACAUUCCAGGAAGAAGAUAGAAUCCUGCCUCUUUUAUCACAAACUUCAUUGGAUGGGGAGCUGGAUGGAAGCCAAGCUUCCUUUGCUGAACCCCCACUGGCUAUGGAUUCUGGAAGUAUUGGGGCUGGAAAGGGUUAUGGUUGAGAAGGACAAGGGGAAUUGCCCAAACAUAUAGCUAGAAAGAAAUCUACACAGACUGGUUGAGUUGUGUUUCAAAAGUAUGUGCUGCUGAUUGUACAAGUCACCCUGGUCUCAGGUCUCCAGGUUGCAGCAAUGCCAGGGCUUCCAUCUUUUUCUGGAUAAAAACAAACUGGGGUGGAGUACAUUCUUUGUCUAACUUGUUGUCACCGCAUGAGUGUUGUGGAGGACUCAACUUGUUCAUGUUUAAACAAAGCUACACUAACAAAAGACACUAAAAGUCAUGUACCAGAAAAAUGAUCCUUAAAGAGUUUCCUGUUCCUCCCAUCCAGACUCUGGGAAUGUUCACCUCUCUAUUCUUGGUUUCUGUUGAAUCAUAUAAUAUUUGCCAAAGGCCAUCCCAACUACCCAGAGCUACACGGUCAGGCUUAAACCCUCUCACUACUCACCGGGAUAACUUGAGAAGAGUUCAUUGCUACAGUGUGGUGAUCAUUCCUUCACUCUCUUUCUGGCCUCUUGGCCUAAAGUCCUAGAACAGGC
rnacentral:lncRNA from 1 species